rnacentral:rRNA from 1 species
AUUGAACGCUGGCGGCAGGCCUAACACAUGCAAGUCGAGCGGAUGAAGGGAGCUUGCUCCUGGAUUCAGCGGCGGACGGGUGAGUAAUGCCUAGUAAUCUGCCUGGUCGUGGGGGAUAACGUCCGGAUACGGGCGCUAAUACCGCAUACGUCCUGAGGGAGAAAUUGGGGGAUCUUCGGACCUCACGCUAUCAGAUGAGCCUAGGUCGGAUUAGCUAGUUGGUGGGGUAAAGGCCUACCAAGGCGACGAUCCGUAACUGGUCUGAGAGGAUGAUCAGUCACACUGGAACUGAGACACGGUCCAGACUCCUACGGGAGGCAGCAGUGGGGAAUAUUGGACAAUGGGCGAAAGCCUGAUCCAGCCAUGCCGCGUGUGUGAAGAAGGUCUUCGGAUUGUAAAGCACUUUAAGUUGGGAGGAAGGGCAGUAAGUUAAUACCUUGCUGUUUUGACGUUACCAACAGAAUAAGCACCGGCUAACUUCGUG